rfam:Olsenella sp. An290 An290_contig_16, whole genome shotgun sequence.
GGGGGUGACUGGUUUCGACAGGGUGGGUCUGAGAUGGGCAGCAGGCCGUGGUCUCCUCGCCACGUUAAACAGGGGUACCGUCAAAUUGAAUUGACGACAACAACUCUUUUGGGCCCCAGCUGGCUCUCGCCGCUUAAUUAGAUAGCGGCGCGCCAAUCCGGUGAUCGCUCCCGUUGCCGGUGCGGUGUCAUCUGAGGGAGAUGCUCGGGCGGACGUAGUCGGUAUGCCGCCCGAAAAGACCGAACCGACUGGGGCGCCAAGCGCGGGCAACCGGGUGCGCGGCGUCUGAGACCCAACCGGUGGCUGAGCCUGGAGACACCUGUCAGGGACCUGCUUUGGACCGGAGUUCGAUUCUCCGCACCUCCACCA